rnacentral:rRNA from 1 species
GUCCUUUAGUAAUAUAUAAUUUGAGGUCUAACCUGCCCAUUGAUAAAGUUAAAAGGCCGCAGUAAUUUGACUGUGCAAAGGUAGCAUAAUCAUUAGUUUUUUAAUUAAAAGCUUGUAUGAAUGGUUGGACGAGAUAAAAUCUGUCUCUUAAUAAAAAAUAGAAUUUAAUUUUUAAGUUAAAAAGCUUAAAUAUAAAUAAAAGACGAGAAGACCCUAUAGAUCUUUAUAUAAUUUUUUUUAGUAUUAAUAAAGAAAAUUUUAUUUAUUAAUUUAGUUUAUAUUUUAUUGGGGUAAUAAAAAGAUUAAAUAAAUUCUUUUAUAUAAAACAAAGAUUAUUGAUUAUAUGAUCCAUUAUUAAUGAUUAAAAGAUUAAGUUACCUUAGGGAUAACAGCGUAAUUUUUUUAGAGAGUUCUUAUCAAUAAAAAAGUUUGCGACCUCGAUGUUGGAUUAAAAGUAAUUCCAGGUGCAGAAGUUUGGAGUUUUGGUCUGUUCGACCAUUAAAUUUUUACA